CAGUAGCCGCGGGAAUACGUAGGUGGCAAGCGUUGUCCGGAAUUAUUGGGCGUAAAGCGCGCGCAGGUGGUUUAAUAAGUCUGAUGUGAAAGCCCACGGCUCAACCGUGGAGGGUCAUUGGAAACUGUUAAACUUGAGUGCAGGAGAGAAAAGUGGAAUUCCUAGUGUAGCGGUGAAAUGCGUUGAGAUUAGGAGGAACACCAGUGGCGAAGGCGGCUUUUUGGCCUGUAACUGACACUGAGGCGCGAAAGCGUGGGGAGCAAACAGGAUUAGAUACCCCUGUAGUCCCUGUCUCUUAUAC
rnacentral:rRNA from 1 species